CUUCACCGCCUACCAACCCUUAACAAACUACUGAAUGCCAACACAUAGUACCAGCAGUGAGCCCCGGGUGCGAAGGUCACGGGGCGAGAGGGGAACAACCCCAGACCAACAGUUAAGGUCCCUAAAUCAUGGUUAAGUUGCAUGAACGAGGUGGGAAUGCACAGACAGCUAGGAUGUUUGCUUGGAAGCAGCAAUUCAUUUAAAGAGUGCGUAACAGCUCACUAGUCGAGCGUUCCUGCGCGGAAAAUAAUCGGGCAUCAAACCAUGUACCGAAACUUUGGAUUCGAAAGAGUGGUAGGGGAGCAUUCUGUAGCGUUGAAGCCGCGUCGUGAGGCGUGGUGGAGUAAACAGAAAAGCAAAUGUAGGCAUAAGUAACGAUAAAUGGCGUGGAAAACGUCAUCGCCGC
rnacentral:rRNA from 1 species